rnacentral:lncRNA from 1 species
UCAGCUCCAUUCCCAAAAUUCAACAAUGCUCUUUCAUGACGUCCCUCACUGGUGAUAUGUCUCGACCCUAGGAUUUCAACAUCAAUCUCAUUAUGUUUUCCAUCUCAAAAAUCGCAAUGGCAAUAGGGCGGGCUGUGUUGGGGAGAAAACGGUGGGUCGACUUUGGCUUACAAAUAAUGGAAUUGAGAAAACACAGCUAAAAUGGACACAAGUAUUUACGUGGUUC